rnacentral:rRNA from 1 species
UCAAGCUAAAAAGGGCGCAAGGUGAAUGCCUUGGCACUGGGAGCCGAUGAAAGACGUGGUAAGCUGCGAAAAGCUUCGGGGAGGAGCAAACAUCCAUUGAUCCGGAGAUAUCUGAAUGGGGCAACCCAAUGGAGUUCAUACUCCAUUAUCCAAUACUGAAUCCAUAGGUAUUGGAAGGGAACCGCCUGAACUGAAACAUCUAAGUAGGGCGAGGAAGAGACAUCAAACGAGAUUCCGUAAGUAGUGGCGAGCGAACGCGGAAGAGGGCAAACCGGGAGUCGAAAGACUUCCGGGGUACGGACUGCUUUUAGGACUCAAUCUGUUAACCGAACGGCAUGGGAAGGCCGGUCAGAGAGUGUGAGAACCACGUAGGUGAAAACGGAAAGAGCUGCGCAAGUUCCAGAGUACGGCCAGACACGUGAAACCUGGUCGGAAGAUGGGGGGACCACCCUCCAACCCUAAAUACUACCCAGUGACCGAUAGCGUAUAGUACUGUGAAGGAAAGGUGAAAAGCACCCCGGGAGGGGAGUGAAAAAGAACCUGAAACCCUGUGCCUACAAGCACCUAGAGCACGUCAAUGUGUGAUAGGGUACUUUUUGUAGAACGGUCCGGCGAGCGAUUGUAUGCAGCAAGGUUAAGGACUUAAGGUCUGGAGCCGAAGCGAAAGCGAGUUUGAAAAGGGCGUUAAGUUGCAUACAAUGGGCCCGAAACCGGGUGACCUACCCAUGGUCAGGUUGAAGUGGAAGUAAAAUUCCAUGGAGGACCGAACCGACCUCCGUUGAAAAGGCGGCGGAUGAACUGUGGGUAGCGGAGAAAUUCCAAUCGAACCCGGAGAUAGCUGGUUCUCCCCGAAAUAGUUUUAGGACUAGCCUCAAGUUAGAUACCUGGAGGUAAAGCACUGAAUAGCCUAGCGGCCGAGAGGUUAGCGAAGCUUAUCAAACUCAGAAUGCCAGAGUAUUGAUGCUUGGGAGUCAGACAGUGUCAGAUAAAUGUCAUUGUCAAAAGGGAAACAGCCCAGAUCUACAGCUAAGGUCCCAAAGUCAGGUUAAGUGGAAAACGAUGUGAAGAUACGCAGACAACCAGGAUGUUGGCUCAGAAGCAGCCACUCAUUCAAAGAGUGCGUAAUAGCUCACUGGUCGAGCGUCUUUGCGCGGAGAAUUUAACGGGGCUAAACCUGACACCGAAGCUUAGGCAAUACAGCAAUGUAUUGGGUAGGGGAGCGUUGUAUACGCGGUGAAACAGUAGCGCAAGCGGCUGUGGAGUGUAUAGAAGUGAGAAUGCCGGAAUGAGUAGCGCGAAUGCAGUGAGAAUCUGCAUGGCCGAAAGCCUCAGGUUUCUGGAGGAAGGUUCGUCCGCUCCAGGUUAGUCGGGAGCUAAGGUGAGGCCUAACGGCGUAGCCGAUGCACAGACGGUAGAGAUUCCGUCACCACCAAAAGAGUUAAACACAGGGACACAUUUGAAGUCUCGGAGCCGGGUGUUGGUUCCGGUAGCGAUCGAGGGAAGUUAGUACCGAAGUCCGGGAUGGAAGAUGGCGAGAAAAGCUGUGUGUAUUUCUGCGGUGCCCGUACCGCAAACCGACACAGGUAGGUAGGAAGAAGAUUCUAAGGCCAACGGGAGAAGGGUUGUUAAGGAACUCGGCAAAUUGACCCCGUAACUUCGGGAGAAGGGGUGCUCCAGAGAUGGAGCCGCAGAGAAUCGGCCCAAGCAACUGUUUACCAAAAACACAGGUUUGUGCUAAAUCGAAAGAUGACGUAUACGAGCUGACGCCUGCCCGGUGCUGGAAGGUUAAGAGGAGAUGUGCAAGCAUUGAAUCGAAGCCCCAGUGAACGGCGGCCGUAACUAUAACGGUCCUAAGGUAGCGAAAUUCCUUGUCAGGUAAG